rnacentral:rRNA from 1 species
GGCCAGACUCCUACGGGAGGCAGCAGUGAGGAAUAUUGGUCAAUGGGCGAGAGCCUGAACCAGCCAAGUCGCGUGAAGGAUGACGGCCCUACGGGUUGUAAACUUCUUUUGUCAGGGAGCAAUUGGGUCCACGUGUGGGCUUAGCGAGAGUACCUGAAGAAAAAGCAUCGGCUAACUCCGUGCCAGCAGCCGCGGUAAUACGGAGGAUGCGAGCGUUAUCCGGAUUUAUUGGGUUUAAAGGGUGCGUAGGCGGAACAUUAAGUCAGCGGUAAAAUCGAGGGGCUCAACCCCUGUAAGCCGUUGAAACUGGUGAUCUUGAGUGGGCGAGAAGUAUGCGGAAUGCGUGGUGUAGCGGUGAAAUGCCUAGAUAUCACGCAGAACUCCGAUUGCGAAGGCAGCAUACCGGCGCCCGACUGACGCUGAGGCACGAAAGCGUGGGGAUCGAACAGGAUUAGAUACCCCUGUAUG